rnacentral:rRNA from 1 species
UACAGAGACUGCAAGCGUUAUUCGGAUUCACUGGGCGUAAAGGGUGCGCAGGCGGCCAAGUGUGUGAGGCGUGAAAGCCCGGGGCUUAACCCCGGAAUUGCACCUCAAACUACAUGGCUAGAGCAUUGGAGAGGGUAGCAGAAUUCAUGGUGUAGCAGUGAAAUGCGUAGAUAUCAUGAGGAAUCCCAGAGGCGAAGGCGGCUACCUGGACAAUUGCUGACGCUCAGGCACGAAAGCGUGGGGAGCAAAAGGG